GACAGCAAGAGGCCAAUUUCAAAGGUUCCCAGCUCUUUGGCUCUGCAUCCCACUUGUGCCAGCUUUUUCUUUCAUUUUCCCUAAGAUGGAAUGAUGGCUGAUGGGAGCUUGGAAGGAAAAAAACCCUAGAAGAGUAUUGAAUUUCCUAUGCCUGUUUUCAUGCAUGCUGAAGCAGCAGUUGACUGAACUGGUGCAUUUUACAACAUCUGAAGCAACUGUAAAAACACACAGUGAUGAAACAAGAUCCCACCUGUGGCAACACAUACAGCUCAUGGAGUACAAAUUAUGUGUAGUAGGCGUUCAUGUGGAAAAUCUGUAUGGCCAAAGCAUUCUGGCAAACCACAGUUCCUGCUGGGUGAGUUAAGAGUCUGUCUUUAAGGAAUGAGGGAUUCAAAACUCCCCAUGCAGGUAUCAGUGGCGCAAAGCACUCUGAAUACAGCAGAGAUCAGGAGGGUUCAUCUCUAGGGUCCAUCCCUUAGGCUGGAGAUGGAUUAGAUGCCAGCAGGCACAGAUCUGGAAUCUGGUGGAAGAGCUGUAAUUGUGUGCUGGUGAUACCUCUGCUGGCAAACUUUGUCCUUCAUCAGGUCAAAGUGAUUCAGUCAGUUUUCUGGAGGGGCUAAGAGCCAGAGAUGGUUUGUUUCUGCUCCUGUAGCUUUGCUGAGAGCUCCUUAAAGAACAAGUUUGUGGAAGAGGGAUGACUGAUGCUUUCUAUUUCUUUUCCAAACUGUACUAUACCCUGCUUGUAUUUUCCAUUUACCUCCAGUGAAUUAUUAAAGGUAUAUCCCAUGCUUGACUUUUGUGAGAAAUGUUAGAUGCAAGGUUUAGAAAGUAUGGGUACUGAGUCCCUUAAUCAAUCAUCCACUAAUUACCAAGCUCAUUUGGGAAAAAGAGCAUGGAAACCCUGCUCAGGAAUAUCUAAUACUGCAUAACUUGCUCUGCAAAGUGCACCCAGACAGUGGUGAUACGCUUUUUGCAGAAGGGGAGCCAGGCCUGGAAGGCCAUGAUAAAGGCUGGUCCUCUGGAGGAGCCAGUCACAAAUAUUCCCACCGUGUGAAAGGUCUGUGGCCCUGCAAUGCACCAGGGCAGACCAGGGCUGGAUUGGCAUAAAUGCAGUUUAAAAUACCAGCAUGUUGUGCCCAUGCCACAGCUGAGAA
rnacentral:lncRNA from 1 species